rnacentral:rRNA from 1 species
AACGCUAGCUACAGGCUUAACACAUGCAAGUCGAGGGGCAGCAUUUCAGUUUGCUUGCAAACUGGAGAUGGCGACCGGCGCACGGGUGAGUAACACGUAUCCAACCUGCCGAUAACUCGGGGAUAGCCUUUCGAAAGAAAGAUUAAUACCCGAUGGCAUAAUUAGACCGCAUGGUCUUAUUAUUAAAGAAUUUCGGUUAUCGAUGGGGAUGCGUUCCAUUAGGCAGUUGGUGAGGUAACGGCUCACCAAACCUUCGAUGGAUAGGGGUUCUGAGAGGAAGGUCCCCCACAUUGGAACUGAGACACGGUCCAAACUCCUACGGGAGGCAGCAGUGAGGAAUAUUGGUCAAUGGGCGCAGGCCUGAACCAGCCAAGUAGCGUGAAGGAUGACUGCCCUAUGGGUUGUAAACUUCUUUUAUAUGGGAAUAAAGUUUUCCACGUGUGGAAUUUUGUAUGUACCAUAUGAAUAAGGAUCGGCUAACUCCGUGCCAGCAGCCGCGGUAAUACGGAGGAUCCGAGCGUUAUCCGGAUUUAUUGGGUUUAAAGGGAGCGUAGGUGGACAGUUAAGUCAGUUGUGAAAGUUUGCGGCUCAACCGUAAAAUUGCAGUUGAUACUGGCUGUCUUGAGUACAGUAGAGGUGGGCGGAAUUCGUGGUGUAGCGGUGAAAUGCUUAGAUAUCACGAAGAACUCCGAUUGCGAAGGCAGCUCACUGGACUGCAACUGACACUGAUGCUCGAAAGUGUGGGUAUCAAACAGGAUUAGAUACCCUGGUAGUCCACACAGUAAACGAUGAAUACUCGCUGUUUGCGAUAUACAGUAAGCGGCCAAGCGAAAGCAUUAAGUAUUCCACCUGGGGAGUACGCCGGCAACGGUGAAACUCAAAGGAAUUGACGGGGGCCCGCACAAGCGGAGGAACAUGUGGUUUAAUUCGAUGAUACGCGAGGAACCUUACCCGGGCUUAAAUUGCAUUUGAAUAUAUUGGAAACAGUAUAGCCGUAAGGCAAAUGUGAAGGUGCUGCAUGGUUGUCGUCAGCUCGUGCCGUGAGGUGUCGGCUUAAGUGCCAUAACGAGCGCAACCCUUAUCUUUAGUUACUAACAGGUCAUGCUGAGGACUCUAGAGAGACUGCCGUCGUAAGAUGUGAGGAAGGUGGGGAUGACGUCAAAUCAGCACGGCCCUUACGUCCGGGGCUACACACGUGUUACAAUGGGGGGUACAGAAGGCAGCUACCUGGUGACAGGAUGCUAAUCCCAAAAGCCUCUCUCAGUUCGGAUCGAAGUCUGCAACCCGACUUCGUGAAGCUGGAUUCGCUAGUAAUCGCGCAUCAGCCAUGGCGCGGUGAAUACGUUCCCGGGCCUUGUACACACCGCCCGUCAAGCCAUGAAAGCCGGGGGUACCUGAAGUACGUAACCGCAAGGAGCGUCCUAGGGUAAAACUGGUAAUUGG